rnacentral:rRNA from 1 species
ACGGGUGAGUAACGCGUGGGAAUCUACCUAGUUCUACGGAACAACUGAUGGAAACGUCAGCUAAUACCGUAUACGCCCUACGGGGGAAAGAUUUAUCGGAAUUAGAUGAGCCCGCGUAAGAUUAGCUAGUUGGUGGGGUAAUGGCCUACCAAGGCGACGAUCUUUAGCUGGUCUGAGAGGAUGAUCAGCCACACUGGGACUGAGACACGGCCCAGACUCCUACGGGAGGCAGCAGUGGGGAAUAUUGGACAAUGGGCGCAAGCCUGAUCCAGCCAUGCCGCGUGAGUGAUGAAGGCCUUAGGGUUGUAAAGCUCUUUCAGUGGGGAAGAUAAUGACGGUACCCACAGAAGAAGCCCCGGCUAACUUCGUGCCAGCAGCCGCGGUAAUACGAAGGGGGCUAGCGUUGUUCGGAUUUACUGGGCGUAAAGCGCACGUAGGCGGAUUGUUAAGUCAGGGGUGAAAUCCUGGAGCUCAACUCCAGAACUGCCUUUGAUACUGGCAAUCUCGAGUCCGGAAGAGGUAAGUGGAACUCCUAGUGUAGAGGUGGAAUUCGUAGA